GAUGAACGCUGGCGGCGUGGCUAAUACAUGCAAGUCGAGCGAACAGAUGAGGAGCUUGCUCCUCUGACGUUAGCGGCGGACGGGUGAGUAACACGUGGAUAACCUACCUAUAAGACUGGGAUAACUUCGGGAAACCGGAGCUAAUACCGGAUAAUAUAUUGAACCGCAUGGUUCAAUAGUGAAAGACGGUUUUGCUGUCACUUAUAGAUGGAUCCGCGCCGCAUUAGCUAGUUGGUAAGGUAACGGCUUACCAAGGCAACGAUGCGUAGCCGACCUGAGAGGGUGAUCGGCCACACUGGAACUGAGACACGGUCCAGACUCCUACGGGAGGCAGCAGUAGGGAAUCUUCCGCAAUGGGCGAAAGCCUGACGGAGCAACGCCGCGUGAGUGAUGAAGGUCUUCGGAUCGUAAAACUCUGUUAUUAGGGAAGAACAAAUGUGUAAGUAACUAUGCACGUCUUGACGGUACCUAAUCAGAAAGCCACGGCUAACUACGUG
rnacentral:rRNA from 1 species